UUUUGAUAAGCAGUAUCAAAGAAUUAUUAAUUUGUAUGUCUGCAUAUCAGCUAUAUGUGUGUAUUUAAUGGUACGCUGUUAUCACCUGUUUGCGACGUGAACAAACAAAACACAAAUUAACUAUAAAUAAAUUCGACAAUGACGUCGUUGUGAAUUUAUGCAAAACGCAAUAAGACAAUAAAUACAUAAGCACAUACAUAUUACAUAUGCAUAUGUAUGCGGAUCGGCACGGACAUGGACGUUGUUUGGUUCAUGGGCGUAGUUAACUUUUUGUGCCGUCAAACAAAUACCUAGCUGUGUGCGUAAGCGUAAUAGACUAUGUUGAUGUGAACGUGCGGUCCCGCACAUAAUCAUACAUACAUACAUAUGCAGCAGAAACAAACAUUCGCAUUCACACACACACGCGUACGCACAGUAUUGCUACAGUUGCCAUAUUGCAAAAAUUUUAAAUGUAUUUACUUCGUGAACCCAACAAGCACACUCACACAUGUAUGGAUAUAAUAUUAAGCGAUCACUGCGUAUAUAGUAAAUAUAUAUGAACACACACUCAAACAUAUACUUAAGUAUGCAUUCGCACACACACACACACCUGUAAAUACACACACACACAUGAUUGAAUGAACCUCCCUCAACUCUGAGCGCAAGCAGUUGAAACAACACGGCGUACUCAAGUUGCGUAUAACAACAAAUGGCACGUAGCAUAAAAUCGAAUGGCCUAGGGGCAGACGUCAUCGCUCCGCGUCGUUGAAAAUUUUAGCGUUUAUUGAUUUGUCAAGAAGCAUUCGCUAGCGGAAAUGCUAAACAACAAACAAA